rnacentral:rRNA from 1 species
AUUGAACGCUGGCGGCAGGCCUAACACAUGCAAGUCGAACGAGUGGCGGAAGGGUGAGUAAUGUCUGGGAAACUGCCCGAUGGAGGGGGAUAACUACUGGAAACGGUAGCUAAUACCGCAUACCCUCGGAUGUGCCCAGCUGGGAUUAGCUAGUAGUUGGGGUAACGGCUCCCCUAGGCGACGAUCCCUAGCUGGUCUGAGAGGAUGACCAGCCAACCUGGAACUGAUACACGGUCCAGACUCCUACGGGAGGCAGCAGUGGGGAAUAUUGCGCAAUGGGCGCAAGCCGGAUGCAGCCAUGCCGCGUGUAUGAAGAAGGCCUUCGGGUUGUAAAGUACUUUCAGCGAGGAGGCGUUACUCGCAGAAGAAGCACCGGCUAACUCCGUGCCAGCAGCCGCGGUAAUUC